CUACGGGGGGCUGCAGUGAGGAAUUUUCGACAAUGGGCGCAAGCCUGAUCGAGCAAUACCGCGUGAAGGAUGACCCCCUUCGGGGUGUAAACUUCUUUUAUAAACUAGAAUAAUGAUCGGUUUAUGAAUAAGUCACGGCUAACUACGUGCCAGCAGCCGCGGUAAUACGUAGGUGGCAAGCGUUACCCGGAAUUAUUGGGCGUAAAGCGUCUGUAGGCGGAUAUAAAAGUCUGGUGUUAAAUCCUGAGGCUCAACCUCAGAAUCGUACCGGAAACUAUAUGUCUAGAGGAUGUCAGAGGUCUGUGGAAUUCUAGGAGUAGGGGUAAUAUCCGUAGAUACCUAGAGGAACACCAAUAGCGAAGGCAGCAGACUGGGGCAUUCCUGACGCUCAGAGACGAAAGCGUGGGGAGCGAAAAGGAUUAGAUACCCGUGUAGUC
rnacentral:rRNA from 1 species